rnacentral:rRNA from 1 species
GACGAACGCUGGCGGCGUGCUUAACACAUGCAAGUUGAACGGGGAUAUCGAUUUCGGUUGGUAUCCUAGUAGCGGACGGGUGAGUAACGCGUGAGCAACCAACCUUUGUGAGGGGGACAACAGCUGGAAACGGCUGCUAAUACCGCAUGAGACCACGGUUUCGCAUGGAACUGAGGUAAAAGCUUUAUCGCACAAAGACGGGCGCGCGUCCCAUUAGCUAGUUGGUGAGGUAACGGCUCACCAAGGCAACGAUGGGUAGCCGACCUGAGAGGGUGAUCGGCCACACUGGAACUGAGACACGGUCCAGACUCCUACGGGAGGCAGCAGUGGGGAAUAUUGGGCAAUGGGCGCAAGCCUGACCCAGCAACGCCGCGUGAGGGAAGAAGGUCUUCGGAUUGUAAACCUCUGUCCUUGGGGACGAAAAAAAUGACGGUACCCAAGGAGGAAGCUCCGGCUAACUACGUGCCAGCAGCCGCGGUAA